UGCUGUGGUUGUUCAAGCGUAGCAUCUCGCUCUGGUUCGCGUAUGCGAUGGGUUCGUCGGAGUUGGUGUUUUGAGUGGUCGAUCUUCGAUAGUUGGUGAAGGCUUAUUUGUUGUAGAUCUGAGCAGAUCUGCGUUCCGAUGAUGGAUUAUUUGAGUUACCGAGGCCUGGUGUUCGAUAGGAGUUUAAUUCGUCCCUGUUUAUUUAUUUGAUUUGGUUUUUGACCGUGCAUCUUCUUGCGGCCCUGGCAUCUACUUGAUUAUUUGUGUGCUUUCUGCGAUGUAGAAUUCGUGAGGGAGUUUAAUUUGAUGCGUGCUGUCAUCUGAUCGGCGUCGGAUCUCAGAUCUCUGUUUAUUGGUUUAUCGAUUUCUGGUUUGGUUUUAGAUCGUGCUACUCUACGCGUUUCGGUUACUGCCUGACUUUUUUCGUAAAACUAUUUUGUUGUAGAGAUCCUCCUGAUUAAGAUCUAUGUCGAUGGAUUGCUAUAUCAUGUGCUGAAGUUUGAUUUGGGAUCGGUGCUCGGUGGUUUUCGGUUAAUUGGUUUAUUAUCAAUAUUUAGUUUUGUUAUAGAACGUGCUCUUCUAUGCGUUACGGUUGCUGCCUGAUUCGUUGGUCUUCCCUUUUGUGUCGUAGAGUUCCUGCGGAUUGUAAUCCCUCGGCGGUUUUCGCUACAAGUGCUGACGGUUGAUAUAAGCGAUUGGAUCUCGGUUACCUGAUCUAUAAUCUAUAGUUUUGAUCUAGAACGUCCUUUUCUCUCUGUUUUGGCGAUUGCCUGAUUACCCUGGGUUUCCCCAUUCUCUGUUUGUGGAAUUUGUGCAGAUAGUAAGCGUGGCCCAUGUCUGCUCUAACAAGUGCUGAUGGCUCUUAUGGCACACGACCUAAGUUUCUUGGCCUAUUGACUAACUAUUUUUUAGAACGUGCUUUAGUCUCAGUUUCGGUUUCUGCCUAAUCUUUUGGUUUUCAAAUUCCUGCUGUAGAGUUUGCGCGAAUCGUAGCGCCCGUGCGAUCUGGUCCUUAACAAGUGGUGACUUUUCUUGCAAUUACUGGCUGUUCAUAGAUCUCGGUUUAAUGGUUUUUCUGUCUCCAGUUUGGUUUUAGAACGAAUAUUUCUUGCCUGGUUUUUCGGCCUUUCACCUUUUGUGUUGUAGGGUUCGUGCUGGAUGUUAAUCUUGGAGAUGUUUUGCCUAACAAAUGCUGCCUCGAUUGGAUCUCGGUUAAUUCGUUUAAAUUAAUCUUUGGAUCUGUCUAAAAAUUUACCAAGUCUAUGAGAUCUAUUCCUGCCUGACUGCUGCCUUAAUUCGUUUAAAUUGAUCUUUGGAUCUGUCUUAAAAUAUACCAAGUCUAUGAGAUCUAUUCCUGCCUGACUGCUGCCUUUCUUUCUGUUGUAGAGUCUGUUUCCUGCUGUGGGUUGCUUAACAAGUGGUGACAUUGAUUGGGGAUUAGUAUAAUAGUUGAUAUGUAGUUUUCUUUUUAUGAUACCUACUUGUGUCCUGCCUGACUGCUGCCUUUCUUUCUGUUGUAGAGUCUGUUUCCCGCUGCGGGUUGCUUAACAAGUGGUGACAUUGAUUGGGGAUUACUAUAUUUAUUAGUUGAUAUGUAGUUUUCUUUUUAUCGUACGUACUUGAGUCCUGCCUGAUUGCUUGGCAUUUGUUGUGCUGUAGGCGUGGUGCUGGUUGUAAGUCCCACAGGUUUUGUUUAUGAACAGCAGAUGCUAUAGGGGGUUCUAUCUUUGGUUGCAAAUUGAUUUAGUUUUUUAUUACCUUAAUUUAUCAGCUGUAGCUUGCUGUUUGUCUAAUGUCUUAAAAUGGUCUUUUAUUGCAGUGCAAUAUUUAUUGGCAGAAAGUACUUUGGGUUUGUCAUAAAUUACGGUUUGUUUAAGAUUUCUUGAUUUCCUUCUUUCAGCCGUGAACAUUGGGUGAUUAUGAAUUUUUAAUGAUUGUUCGUAGAGUCUUGUCUUCUGUGUUGAUGGUUCUCUUGCAGAUAAAUAACGGCUCUAUUGGUUUUUGAAGCAUUGAACUUUUGCAUCAUGCCCAUGGUUUGGUUGUCUUCCCUUCAGAUCUUUUGCAAGUUCAUCAUGGCAUUUGGGUUCUUUCUUUUAGAAUUAAGUCAUGGCUGUCUGUUGCAGCCUUGAUUUUUUCUACAUGCAUUAUUGCUACCUUCUCUCAUUGGUUGCAGAACUUAUGAAUAUGUUGGUGAAGAUGUGGUGGCAAAUGACUAGUCAAGCAUUCUUGGAUAUACUUGGUUUUGUUUACCUCUUUCUAAUCCUUUAGCUUCUUAGCCUAAACUUUUAUUAUCCUCUAGUUUUUCUUUUGCUUUCUUUGCCCUCAAUUUUUUUUUGCAGAAUUUUGGGUUUGUUGUCAAAGCUAUCGUGUUGGAGCUGAGGUUUUGCACUUGGUAUUUUUUAUGCCUCUCAUGGAAAAUCUUCAAUAUUUUUAUAAUCAAUAUCCUCACUGCUAUUCCUUUUGUUGACAUGAAAGCAUUAUAGUGAAUGCCUCCAUGGUAGCAUUGUGAAGAUUUAACAUUUAGACUUCUCAAGUGAUUUAUCAGGAGCCUGUUAUCUGUUCUUCUUUUAGACUUCUCUAUGUUAGAAUUUUGAAGACUUUUAACAUUUAGACUUCUCAAGUGAUUCAUCAGGCAUGUCAUCUGUUUAUCUUUUAGACAAGCUACAUAAUUAGUCAUCUGUUUUUAAGUUAUAUGUGUAAUCUUUGAACAUCCUUCUCUUUAAACCUUGUUUUUAGUAGGGUGGUUUUGGUUUUUACAAGAUUCUCAGCCAGCACGGCUCUGUUUUCUUCACUAAUUUGAUUGGUAAAUAGUCCCCAACUUCUUUCCUUGCAUAUGCAUGAUUUGCCAUGGUAUUGAUAGAAUCUGCAGAUUUAAUCUCUGGGCGCUGACAAAGACUAUUAUUUGGUGAUUGGUCAUGUUAUCCAUCAUUUGGUAAUUUUGGUAUCUUUUUGCACAACUCUAUUGUAUUUUGUUUUAUCAGAUCUCUUGGUAUUCCUUAGUCUGCAGAAUAUAUAUGACUAGAUCCCUGGUUGGUGCAAAUUUGAGAGGGAAGAAAAUAUUCUUUAAGUGGGUUUUGAGUUGGUUGUUUCUAAGUAAGCUUACCAGAUUAUUUGAAGCUUCUUUAACAAGGGUACCUACCGUUUGUUAUUUUGGUUGAUCUCUCUUGGUUUCUACGCGGAUGCUAAGGAUUUGAUUCCUCAUUUAUGUAAACAUUCAUCAUGCGACUCUCAUUGCUUUGGUGCUUUAUGCUUGCUCUCAAGAAUAAAAUCUGGUGUAUCUUUAAGUUCUCUCAGAGUUGGUUUUUGAUUGUGCCUCCCCUUAAUGUGGUCUUGUUUUCUUCAGAUCUCCUAGGAACUUGGGUUACGCCUCUCCUUUUAUGUGGUUUGGUAUCUGUCUGAUUUCACUCCUGUAUGCGAUCUUGUUUUUGUCAGAUUUAUAUUUCCUUUUAUAUGUGAUUGAAGACUGGGAAACUUAGUUGGUUUAUGUUGAUGAGUACCCCACAUGCUAGCAGAAAAACUUGAUGAGAUAAAUUGGCUUCCUCUGGUUUCAGAGCAUUGCUGUUGUUUUGCAGCUAUGAAAAGAAGUGUUGCUUUUAUAUGUGAUUGAAGACUGGGAAACUUAGUUGGUUUAUGUUGAUGAGUAGCCCACACGGUAGCAGCAAAACUUGAUGAGAUAAAUUGGCUUCCUCUGGUUUCAGAGCAUUGCCGUUGUUUUGCAGCUAUGAAAAGAAGUGUUGCUUUUGGUUGUUGUCAGCUUUUGGUCAGGUUGGAUUUAUCUCUGUCUUUCUUGAGUUGGGAGGUUCUUGUCACUUUGCUUUCUUCCUACCAACCCUUUAUGCAAUAAGGUUCUUCUCAAAAUGCUCUUGCUAAUUUUUGCAAAGUAAGGCUGCUUUAUUAAGAAAGGCGUGCUGAUGGUGUUAUAAGUGGAGGAUUGAACCUACUGUUUUUAAAAUGAGAUGGCAACUUAAAAGAGUACUGAGGUUUCUAUAGAUGGUGAUUCUGUUCACGUCACCUCUGUUUUUGCUUCGCAUCAUUUUGCAUGGUAGGUUGUUUUCGAUGAUGAUGUCAGUGGAUGGAACAGCUAUUUUAGGAUGAUAUGAUGGUUUUAAGUACUUACUGUUGUGCAAGUCUGUUGGGGUGAAGUUUGGUGUUCUCAAGGUGGUGAGAGAUGCUGCAUAAUUCAAAACUUUACUGUGCUACUAUAGGGGGAUGAUAUGUCCUGGUGGUUCUUCUAGUAGAGUUUUCGAGGUGUGGUUAAGAGCUGCUUCAUGACUUGAAAAUUUUGCGCUGAUAUAUUGGGUUCAGUUUGCUUGGAGUUGAAAUGCUGUUUUUAUUUUUUCCUCUCUGCAUGAUGGUACCUCUAAUAUUGCUUGUCGCGAUUUGUAAUAAUCUGUAUGGGGAUACAUUUGUUACUUCUGGUCCUUUGUGGAGUUAGUUUAUUAUUAUUGUUUUAGUUUUAACUGCCUUUUGGUUAAUCACUUAACAUCAACUUGCAAUAUUUUAAUUCUACAAGGGGAUAAUGCUUAAUAGGUUUUGAAAUCCAAUGUCAUGGCAACUGUGUCUAGUGGGGCAUGAUGGCUUAGUUGAGUUGGUUAUGUAAUGGCUUUGCCUGUAGUAACUCUUUCGACACUGAUAGAAAGGAGAUACAUAGGUGGUACUGGUACAUGAAGACUGUUGGGCUUGGCGUGAUAAUCUAAUUAACUGGAAUAAUUUUUGGGCUGGAAUCUUCUAUCAAGAACUCGACACUGAUGUGGAGCUAAUUUGUAGAGAUGGUUAUAAAUAAGCAUGGUACACAGGGACUGUUUUUAGGCUGCAGUAUAUUUGUCUUGAUAAUCGAAGCAAUGUUUGGAAUGGACUCUUCUACCAUUUACUUUUUUUUGAAGGAAAUAUUUAUAUAUAUUAAUACACGGUGACUAUUAA